rnacentral:lncRNA from 1 species
AAGAAUCCAAAAUGAAAACUACUUUUUAUGAGACAUAUAGAACACUUUAAGCUCUCCUGUAAACCUGAUUUGAUAUUCCGAGAGAUGCAUAUACACCUUAUGUUACACAAGAUCCUCACACAUGCUUGUUACUUUUACAAGCCUUUUGUUUUAAUAAGUUGUUUUAAAAACGUGUUUGUUUUUGAAUAUUUUUAUGUUUAUUGAUUAUUUGUAUAUCUACUUUGUGGAAUCACUUAUUCAAGCUUAUUGGCUUAUUUCCCAUUGGAUUGUCUUUUUCUUAUGGAUUUGUAAAAAUCUUUCUUUCUCUCUCUUUUUUUUUUCUAUGUUAUCUUCUGGAAGAUUUAUUGUUUUACUUUUAACAUGUGAAAUUACAAUCCACCUGAAAUUAAUUUGAUUUGUGUAAGGCAGGAGUAAACUCCUUCCUUCCUUCCCUCCUUCCUUCUUUACUUCUUUUCUUAAUUUAAAUAUCCUAUUGGUCCAGAGUCAUUUAUUAAAAAGACCAUCCUGUCCUUACCACACUGCACACAGCUGUGUCAGAAAUGAAGAUGUGUGGGUCUGUUUUGUCCUCUAGUUUUUAAAGUUUUUUUGUUUUUGGUAUUUUUUAAGCUUUGAAAACAACCCAUAUGUGGGUGGUAGCCUCCAAGAUGGCCCCAAUGAUCUCACUUCCUGAUAUUCACACCCUGGUGUAGUUCCCUCCCACAUUGCACCAAGAGUGGUUUGUGUGACCAGCAGAGUCCAGCAGAAGGGACGGUAUGUCCCUUCCAAAAUUAGGUUAUAAAAGAUGCUGAGGCUUUUGUUUUGUGCUCCCUCUCUCUCUCUCUUUCUCUGCCUGUCACUUGUUCUAGGGGAGGCCAGCUGUCAUUUCUUGAGGAUAUUCAGACAUUCCUGUGGAGAGAUUCACAGGGCGAAUAAUUGAGCCCUCCAUCCAACAGUCUACGGAGUGAUCACGUGAACUUAGAAAAAGAUCAUCUAGCCUUCGGAUGACUGCAGACUCGGCUGAUGGCUUGAUCACAACCUCGUGAGAGACUGAGCCAGAACCACCCAGCAGAGCUGCUCCUGAAUUUCUGACUCUCAAAAACUAUGAGAAGUAAUAAAUUUUAUGCUGCUAAAUUUUCAGGUAGUUUGUUACACAGCAAUAGACAACUAAUAACCAUUGUUUCAUUUUAAAAAUGCUUACAUAUUCAAAAAUACAAACAGUGCUCCUAAAACUGUUUCUUUUUGAGUUGCUUCUGUUGAAAUGUCAAAGGGACUAUUAAAGCAGAAGAUUACCUAGUAAUUAAUGCCUUAGUGUCAUAAAAUUACAGGCAGCUCUGACUUUGAGCACACUUUUUCUAUUGCUACAGAAAAUAUGUGGCAGCAACUGACAAAACGAGAAAAAAGCAAGAUUAAAUCUGGGAUUCCAAGACAAUUUCCAUGGGACAAUUAUGAUUCUGCUGGAAGCCUAAGAAGCCUAUUUCUUUAAAAUCCUUAGAUAAAGAGCAAUCACCUUUCUUCUUCCUUCGUCCUCUCUCUUCAUUCCUACACCAGUCUUAAGGUAUUUAAGUUAAAUUUAAGUUAAACUGCUUUAAAUACCAGCUGGAAAAUGCAGUGAAUAUCUAAGAUACAAAGUGCAGAGCAGUUUGCAUGGUGCAUAGAGUGGAUGAAGGUCAGUGUCAGGAGCUAAGACCGAGAAAAGUAAGUUGAUAGGCUUUCAUUCUUGGUCCAUAGAGCUGGGAUGAGCAAUACAUGAGUCUCCAUGGGCUGGGCUCAUUAUACCCAAGUCUCAUGUGCUCAUUCUCUCUGACUCCAGGGUCUGACCAUGAACCUGAAGCUGAUAAUUCCUGGGGCUUGUUUGUUUUCAGGACUUACCCGGCUUUGGGGCACCUGUUUCUCAUCCAGGUUCUGCUCCCUUUGCUUUCUUGUUUUGGGCAUCAUCUGACAUUUUGGGAAAAGAAUUCCCUGCUGCAAACCUGCUCCUUAGGAACUUCAUCCUCAGCUUAGUCCUCACCAGCUCCCAAGGAAGAAUUUACUAUUUUGCUUAAAUACCAUAUUUUCAAAUUGAGUGUCGCCCAACAUACACACACACACAACACUCUACAAGCUCUCACCCACCCAUGGGCCAAUGCAGGACCCAGGAUGGAGAUCCCAGCUGGUUCCACAUGCUGGUUCUUUCUUUAUUUUUAAAUUUUUUUUAAUUUUUCCUUCUCCCCAAAGCCCCCCAGUACAUAGUUGUAUAUUUUAGUUGUGGGUCUUUCUAGUUGUGGCAUGUGGGAUGCCGCCUCAGCAUGGCUUGAUGAGUGGUGCUAGGUCCGUGCCCAGGAUCCGAACUGGCGAAACCCUGGGCUGCUGAAGAAGAACGCGAGAACUUAACCACUUGGCCACGGGGCUGGCCUACACAUGCUGGUUCUUAAAGCCUUGUCUAAAGCCUCCAUAGCCACCUCCAUCUGUCCACUCCCCUCCUUGUAGCCUAAUGCCUAGACAAAUAACAAAUUGAGUUCUGAACUUUGUUGUUUUUUUAAAAGAGUUUGCUUAUAAAAAAAGGAAAUGCAGCAAGUGGAGAGAACAGUACAAUGACUCCUCAUAUCCCCAUUCACCUAAAUGCAAUAAUUAUAAAAGAUUUUGCCACAUUUGUUUUAUCUAUUCUUUUUUCUCCCUUUUGUUGAAUUAUUUUAAAGGAAAUUUCACAUAUCAUGUCAUUGCACCUCUACAUAUUUGCAUGUUCCAUUUUUAAAAUGUGGCAAUUUUCAUUUAUAACCACCAUGCCAUUAUCAUAUCCAACAAAAUCAAGAAUAACUCUUUGGCACCUCCUAAUCCCAGUCCAUAAUAAAACUUCCCCAAUUGCUCAAAAAUGUCUUUUAACAGUUAGUUGUCUAAAUCAAGAUCCAAACCAGGUCUACAAACUACAUUUCGUUGUUUGCCUUUUAAAUCUAUUUUAAUGUAGAGUCCUCUCCUCUCCCACAUCACAAUUUUAUUUUUAUAUCAUUGACUUGUUGCAGUAAUUCAGUCUGUUUCCCAUAGGCUUGUCAACAUUCUAUAUUUGUCUGUCUGGCUCCUUGGAGUGUCAUUCAACUUGUUUCCCGAUCUUCCUUAUUUCCAGAGGCUUGGUUGGAGUCAGCUUCAUAUUUUAGGCCAUAACAUCUCAUAGGUGGUGACAAAGCCUUGGUCACCCAGUCCCUCAGAAGGUCCACAGUGUCUGGUUGUUCUCUUUUUAGUGAUGCCAAGAUUGAUCAAUGGCUUUAGGUGGUGACCAUCUGAUAGCUCAUUCUAGUUUCCCAUGAACUGCUCAUCAUAUUAGUUUCAUCCAACGAUAAUCCUGAGUGAAUUGUGAAGAAGAAUCUCUGCCACAAUAGACCUGGUCCACUGGUUACCGUUUACCUACAGCACUCUUCUUUGCCCUGAACCCCCGGGAGAUAUGGCUUCCACUCAUGGCUGGAUCUUCAAGCCCUGGACAAGUGCUUCUCAA